rnacentral:rRNA from 1 species
AACGAACGCUGGCGGCAGGCUUAACACAUGCAAGUCGAGCGCCCCGCAAGGGGAGCGGCAGACGGGUGAGUAACGCGUGGGAAUCUACCCAUCUCUACGGAAUAACGCAUGGAAACGUGUGCUAAUACCGUAUACGUCCUUCGGGAGAAAGAUUUAUCGGAGAUGGAUGAGCCCGCGUUGGAUUAGCUAGUUGGUGGGGUAAAGGCCUACCAAGGCGACGAUCCAUAGCUGGUCUGAGGGGAUGAUCAGCCACACUGGGACUGAGACACGGCCCAGACUCCUACGGGAGGCAGCAGUGGGGUAUAUUGGACAAUGGGCGCAAGCCUGAUCCAGCCAUGCCGCGUGAGUGAUGAAGGCCCUAGGGUUGUAAAGCUCUUUCACCGGUGAAGAUAAUGACGGUAACCGGAGAAGAAGCCCCGGCUAACUUCGUGCCAGCCGCCGCCGUAAGAC